rnacentral:rRNA from 1 species
AGUGAACGCUGGCGGUAGGCCUAACACAUGCAAGUCGAACGGCAGCACAGUAAGAGCUUGCUCUUACGGGUGGCGAGUGGCGGACGGGUGAGGAAUACAUCGGAAUCUACUUUUUCGUGGGGGAUAACGUAGGGAAACUUAAGCUAAUACCGCAUACGACCUACGGGUGAAAGGAGGGGAUCUUCGGACCUUGCGCGAUUGACUGAGCCGAUGUCGGAUUAGCUAGUUGGCGGGGUAAAGGCCCACCAAGGCGACGAACCGUAGCUGGUCUGAGAGGAUGAUCAGCCACACUGGAACGGAGACACGGUCCAGACUCCUACGGGAGGCAGCAGUGUGGAAUAUUGGACAAAGGGCGCAAGCCUUAUCCAGCCAUACCGCGUGGGUGAAGAAGGCCUUCGGGUUGUAAAGCCCUUUUGUUGGGAAAGAAAAGCAGCAGGUUAAUACCCCGCUGUUCUGACGGUACCCAAAGAAUAAGCACCGGCUAACUUCGUG